UGGUGUCGUAAGGUUUAAAUUCUGACACUUGCUGCAUUGUUCCGGAUGCUCUUAUUUGCAUACAGUGCACAGAAAGAGAUUAGACAGAGAAUUGAGGUCAAGUCAGCAAGGGCGUCUGCUGAGGGCUACAGCUGCCUCUGAGCAAAUAACCCUCGGUACCAUUUAGAGCAAGUCAUGUGGAUCAGACCACUGCGUAUAUUUAAAAAAAGACUCACGACAAGGAAUCUUUCAAAGGCUCUUUCAGAUAGUGGUGACUGUGCUCGAAGUGUUACAAAGAAAAAUAAGGAAUUGUUUUAAGGUCACCUCUGCAGCCCAUGAUGAUUGAAAUCGGACAACACCUGAAAUGUUGAGAGAAGGAAUCCAGGCUUUCUCAGGCGAUUAAUAAUGUCCGGGAGAUGCUGAUAAUUCAGCUGGUCUUGUGCAACUUUGACAGUAAGUGACAAAACUGUCAGAUCCCUGUUAAUUAAACUUGGUUUACCCCCAAAUGGCUGACUGCAAGAAAAUGACAUUUUCAUCUCACUCAUGGUCUGUAUCUCUCACGCAGAACCCGGGGAUCACAUACUCACAGCCGAGACAAGCAUUUCCACUGCUGGUUACAUUUCAAAACGAAUUCAGUUUGUUGCUACUUGCUGAUUUAAAUUGUUUGUUUACAUGCUGUGCGCUGUUUUGGAGUUGAUCCAAAAUAGUGUAUUUAAGGCCAACACUUUUUUUUGUAAACACGCCCAAAGUUAUCAUAUUCUUCAUCAGGGGCACUGCCAUUAAUUGCCUUUAUGCACAACAGCAGUCUCUUUUGCAUGUGCCCAAAAUUCCUGUUUUAAGCUUUUAAAGCAGUCAUGAGAUUUGAAGUUGCAAGAGCAAUUUAAAAAAAACACUUUAAAAAGUGACAUCCAGAACAGAAAACGUUUGUAAUUUGGCCGUGAGCUGAAAAGCCGCAGGGAUUUCUUCCAGAGGGCGUAGUGGAGGGCAGCAGAAAAAGGGGUUGCUGUUAUGAGUCGUCAGAAGACAAGCAUCCCAGGAUGGUUACAGAUGAGCUACAAAGGAUGUACAAAAGAUGAAUGUGACACUCGUUGACAGCAGAUCUUCUGGAAGGUGUGGCUGCAAGCAGCAGCAGACGUCUAGUGGGGUAGAACGCCACUCUGAAGGAGUCAAUUUGGAGUGCAAAACAUGGUGAUUUUAUCAAGUCAGCAUUUACAAUGGUUUAAAUCAAACGUGAGCUUAAAGGGCAGCCUCUAGGCUUCCUCUGAUUUCGAUUUUCCAGUUCAACACUUUCAACUUCUCACCUGUCUUUUGAAGCUUUCAAAGCAUGGACCUGUUCCUCAUUAUGUGGACACUUCUAAAACAUCUUCUAAACAUUUCCAACUGAAUUAUCAAUCUCGCCACUAACUUGCAGAACGGCGCAGGGUGAGGAGGGCAGAUCUUAAGUCUUCGUUAGCCGUGACGGGAAUUGCAUCCAUGUUGUGGACACUUUUCCGCAUCGCAUGCUAGCCAUUCAGCCAACUGAUCUAUCCAGUCUCCAAGCAACAUUAGCCUCAUCAUUAUUUUGAAAGCAAAGUGUGUCCCAUUAUCUCAUUUUGUAAUCUGCAAAUGAUUUCAGGGAACCACUCCAAAGCUCAGUGACAGGCAUCUGAAUGGAUGUAAAUAUGUAGAUUUGUUGCCUUCAGCAUUUUAUAAUGCAUAUAAACAUACUAAGUAAGCUUUUUUAGAAAUGAGAUAUGCAAUGUAUGACACAGAUCUUUUAUCAGCUUCUAUCACCCUGGAGAACAGUAGAAUUUUAUUAAAGAAUAUCUUUGCCAAACAUUGGGCAAUAUUGUACAUUGAUGAAUAACCUCAUUUGGAGAUCAGAAUCUUAAAGCUUUAUAGAUGCAAAAUUACCAAUAUGGGAAUUAUUUUGUUUUUCUCUAAUACUUACAUCUGUCUCUGCAACUCAUUUUCCUGUGUCGGAAAAAUCUACAGCUAUGGUGUGCAGUGAGUAAAAAUGUAAGGGAAGAUUUUCUGUUUGAAUAUUUUUGGUUGGUGACUUAGCAACAAUCAUAUAAAUCUAUCAGCAGACUUCAUGAAUUUUAUAUAUCUUAUAAUUGCAAUAUUUGAAAUGACCAUUGGGAAAUUAGUUUGAAUUAUUUCUAAGUUAAUUUCUGAACAACUAACUGACCCAAACUGCCCUGGACAAAUUGAUCUGGGCGAUAGCACAUCAGCUGCAAAUACUAAAGAAUGUUUUCUCAAACCAAAUAAGCACUCAAACUAUUUUGGAGGAGUUUUCGUUUUGCAUAUUUAUUUGGAGAAUAGAAAGAAGCUAGUGUGAAAUGGGCCAGCAAUAUGUUAACCCUUGUUGGAUGCUGUCACAAAUAAUCCUACAAUUGCUUCUGAUUCAAAUGCCCUUAAUCCACUUUAGAUAAACAGAGGGUAACUUGGCAGCCAACUGAGCAAUAUACCACAUUUGAGGUAUUUCUUUUUGAUGAGUGUGAUUUCAUCUAAAUCCCAAACAGAUUUAAAUAAAAACAUUUAGUGCUGGAUAUACUUACAGAUCUGCCAACAUCUGCUGAGAGAGGAAAUAUGUUAAUAUUUCAGGUUGAGGUUUCAUCUGCCUGUUUCUCUCAACAUAGGUGUUGCCAAUUCUGCUGAGUAUUUCCAGCAUUUUUAGCUUCUAUUUCAGAUAUCCAGUAUAUGUAAUACUUCACUUUUCCAAAAUAAUUCUAGUCUGAUCAAUCAAGUCAGUUUAGUUUGUGUAACUGAAGUCAUCAUCACAAGGCAUUCAUCCAUAUCCCUGAAGAAUGGAUUUUAUCUGUUCAUGUUGUUUGAGGGUCAUCCUGGUUGAAUUGAAGACCAGAGGUUUGUAGGGUCCUAUAUAGAAUGUAGGAGGUCUUGUGCAGUGUGUAGUGUCCCUGCCUCUGGGCCAGACACGAUCAGUUGGUGUCCAACCCAGGACUUGAUUGUCAAGCAAGGUGAAUUCAUAAUAUCAGCCAACCUGAAAGUCCUGACAACACACACUUCAAUGGCAAGCAGUAAGGAUGGGAGAGAUUCCUGGUCACAUGUGAUGGAAAGAACAUUAGAACUUGAACCAUCACUGUUGAUAGCUCCGGACUACAACCCGAAAGUGAAUGUGUAUGUUGCCAUAGCAAUUUGUACCUACUGAGUGAACUGUAACACAUCACAUGGACAUUGUCCAAAUUGGUCAUAAAUUGUGCCAAAUAACAUGCAUAGCUGUGACUUUGCCUAACUCACUGGGACGCUAGAGUUUGAGGGUUGGUGACACAGUUUUUUGACAGAGGCUAACAAGUACAGCCUCACUUGCUGUUCCAAAUUGGCACAAAACGCCAGCUUGAAGAUUCAGCAGCCUUGGUAAACUUGUUGAAAAAUGAAUACACAGUUUUACAAAUCCCAAAGUGCAGGCACAAAUUUUUAAUUUCUCCUGCUCUCCAGCCUAUCACAGACCUUCCCCUUUUGUUCUUCUUCCCACCUUUUCACCUUUGGUUUGCUCACAGUCCAUUACAUUUCUAACUGUUCUCAGUUCAGAUAAAAGGCCAGAAAUCUGUAAUAUAAAUUCUGUUUCUCUCCCAACAUGCUGAGCGUUUCUAGUCACUUCUGUGUUCUUUAUUAUCAUAAGGAUGCUUCUACCUAUGAAUAGGGAAAGAAGAGGAAAGUUAGAAAAGAAAAUUGAGCAGAGAAUAAAAUAAGUUGACAAUUCUCCAAUGUUUGUCUUUUGCAAAGUCAAUUAUCACACUGAGUUAGAAAAUACUUUCUACCCAGAAUACAGAACGUACAAAUAAAACUGGUGAGAGAUUAAUUGCGGGUGUAUUUCAUGUGCUAUUGUACAUAAGGAGACUGAAAGGGAGAUUUUAUGUUCCAGGGGAAAAGGUAAAGGAGCCUGCUGCAAUUUCCACAGCUGAACUGUCUGACUCACUCAGAGAAAGAGGAAGAUAACAACAGGAAAGAUUACUUGAUUUAUCAUAUCAAUGCAGCACCACACUUUUAAAACAUUUCUUGCCGCAAGAAAUGUGCUGUGCCAAAAAUACCAAGAAGCCAAUUUGUCUAGUGAAGAUGCUAAAUGUUGCUCAACCUCACAGUCAGAUACUCUGUUUCGCUUUGAGUGUUCAAUAUAAUUCAACUCACCAAACAGGGAAUUGUAAAGGAAUUAGAAGACAAACAGCAAUGAAACUUUAAACAUUGCUUAAUUGAGCAGUUACUUAAUAAUUUAAAUCUUCAUGCAUAUUCAUUUAGCUAACAGAAUAUAUUAAUUUAACAGUUUUGAACCCAUAUCAUUUAUAAUACAUUAUAAAUAUUCAUCAAUUUUCUUCACUACCAUCAUGAUCUUUGCUUUACAAAUGACUUUGGUUUUAAAGUUUGAAAGCACAAUUCGAUUUCUUUCAUACUUUUAAACAUUGUAGUACUGUAUUCAUGUCAUUCUCUUUUUCUUAUAUUAUAAAUGAAGAGUGUUGAGCAGAAAUAGUUUAACUCUGUCCUCAUGCUGCACUCCAUGCCACUUAGGGAACCCACAAGUGGUUGGGUGCAGGAACGGUAGCAGUGCCACCUAGUCAGUAGACUAUUAACUCUAAUGCUUAGUGCUAAUGUAUGAUAGAGCAAUCUCAAGGGAGCUUCUUUCUGUUUCUAACCAUGUGUUCUUUUGUAACUGAGUUGAAAAUUGGGAGAAAUGAAUUUAGGGCAGUUACUAGCAAAUCCAGCACUAAAUUUUCUUCAUCCAGAGAGUGUUUAGAUUGUCAAGCUCAUAGUUGAGGUGAAUAGUGCUGAUGCCUUUAAGGGGAAACAAGAUAAACACAAGAUGGAGAAAGGAGUAGAAGGACUUUGCUGAUGGGUUAGACAAAGACAAAUCAAAGAAGAUUUAGGUGGAAUAUAAGCACAUGCUCAGACUAGUUGGGCUGAUUGACCUGCUCUCGUGCUGUAAACCUCAUGCAAUUCUUUCCAAAACCUGAACUGGUUUGAUCCAAAGAUUGUGGUCUUGAAAUGGAAAGUAUUCCAUUCUUUCAUAGGCAACAUUCCACACUUUGAUGAGUACAGCACUCAAUGGAAAAAAGACAUUAAUUUGUCACAGGCUCCUGUAGCCACAUUGUGAACACACCCUCGGCUCCAAGCAAACAUAGCAGGGCGAUACAAGUUCUUUGAUGCAAAAUGAGAACCUGGGUGAAGAUCAAAGUUCAGUGUUUCAGUAUUAGAGUAACUAAUGCCUUUUUCUUGCUGCUCUUUUAAGCCUGAAUAGUGCUGAUCAAUUUAUUGUGUAACUUUUAACGUGAAGCUAUCUUUAUUUCCAAAAUGGCUUUCUUUUGCAUAUCUCUCAGAAGUUAUUACAAUCAUAACAUCACAAUAACAGAAGACUUCUUUAAGUUUAAUGUUUCUAUUAAAUGUAGUUUAUUUAUGAAUAAAAAAAAUCAAUAAGAAUGAAAA